rnacentral:lncRNA from 1 species
GAUCCUUGUCCAGUCAAGUUGUUAUUAUAGUCAAUGUGAUCCUUGUCCAGCCAAGUUGUUAUUAUAGGUAAGUGUACAUUAUAUGUGAACUAUAUAGGAUCAUUUACUAUUGAAAUUUGUUUCAAAUGUAAAAUGUUCAAACUCUAUAGGGGAGAUAAUGUGAAAUGUUCAAACUCUAUAAGGGGAGAUAAUGAAAAAUGUUCAAACUCUAUAAGCAUGGUAAGGGGAGAUAAUGUAAAAUGUUCAAACUCUAUAGGGGGAGAUAAUGUAAAAUAUUCAAACUCUAUAAGGGGAGAUAAUGUUAAAUGUUCAAACUCUAUAAGGGGAGAUAAGCUAAAAUGUUUAAACUCUAUAAGGGGAGAUAAUAACUCUAUCAGGGGAGAUAAUGUAAAAUGUCCAAACUUUAAGGAGAGAUAAAGUAAAAUGUUCAAACACUAUAAGGGGAGAUAAUGUAAAAUAUUCAAACUCUAUAAGGGGAGAUAAUCAACAUAUAGUUUUUACAUUCAAAAUACCACCAAUGUUUUUAUAGUAAACAAGACACAAAGAAUGUGAUAACAUCAUUACAAUGUUAUUUGUCUUCAAAUAUAAGCAUUGAACUUGUGCUAUAGAAAAUAAAGUGAGAUAUAUGUCAAUGAGCAACCCAACAAAGCAAGAAUUGAGAUGUGUACAGGUCAAUAUAUAGUCAACGAUUCAAAAAUAACCUCAUAUGAUAAGGUCUUCAUUUUUAUGAAGCGGGCCAUUAAAUUUAGGAUUUAUUCAUGUUAAAAAUAAUUGCACAUUAUACCUUUUUAUCCCACCACGGGUAAAUUAUGACGUUUGAUUGGUUUAACGCCGUCACAUGGUGACCCCCUAUGGAUCUUAGGGGUUAGUAAAUUUCAUAUGGGUUCAUGACGUCUGUCUAUUUUUAAUGGUGACGUCAUCUAUUGAUGUUGUUGUAUUUCAUUGUUUAUUUUUAUACAAAACGCAGCAGGAAAAGUCCCAUGUGCGAUAAAUUCGUUAUAUCGUAUAUAUGGUUCACUACUUACCCCCUUCGGCCUCAGCCCCUAUGGAUUUUACUAACCCUCUAUGGAUCCGUAGGGGGUCAAUAGCGAACCAUAUAACUUAUAACUGUAAGUUUAUUUUAUUGAAACAGGGAGAUAACACACACACAUUGAUAUGUUUAUAAGAAACAUUCAUAACAAGUACGAAUGAAGUAUUUUUUAGUCAUACUUCAAUGUUACAUAUAUAUCGGGCUUAAACAAGUAAAUAUGAUUUAUAGUCAUUUUUCACAGAUGCUUUAGAUGACGACACAACGUUACUUAUAAAUUAGGCUGACCUCAGAAGUACAUUCAUCAGUAUUUAUUUAUUAGUAUGUAUUGUAUAAUAUAUGUUUUUUUAAGAGAACAAAACAAAUCAAUCCAUAAAGACUGCCUCGUUGAUCUUCACGGUGUUGUGGUAUUGUGUUCACCUUUAGUGUGGGAGGUGGUGGGUUUAAACCCUGGACAGUUCAACCAAAGAUCUUCACGGUGUUGUGGUAUUGUGUUAACUUUUAGUGUGGGAGGUGGUGGGUUUAAACCCUGGACAGUUAAACCAAAGACUUGAAAAUUAAUAUUUGCUGCUUCUCCAAAAUGAGGUAAAUCAAUACAGAGUCAGAGUAAGUAGUUUUCACAUAUGCCAUACAGCCACUUCCUUUUUUUCACAUAUGCCAUACAGUCACUUCCUGUUUUCACAUAUGCCAUACAGCCACUUCCUGUUUUCACAUCUGCCAUACAUCCACUUCCUGGUUUCGCAUCUGUCAUACAUCCACUUCCUGUUUUCACAUCUGUCAUACAGCCACUUCCUGUUUUCACAUCUGCCAUACAGCCACUUCCUGUUUUCACAUCUGCCAUACAGCCACUUCCUGUUUUCAUCUGUCAUACAUCCACUUCCUGUUUUCACAUCUGUCGUACAGCCACAUCCUAUUGGUUGAUAGUUUGAAAUUAUACAACACUCAUUGUACAAUGAAAAUUUCUUUUUCUUGGCUUCUAUGGAAGGGAAUGAUUUUAUAUUUGAUGAACAGCUUGAAAAUGUUGAUUUGUAGAAUGUUAGCAAUUUUUAUGCCCCUUUUUAAUGGGCAUUAUGUUUUUUGAUCUGUGGGUCUGUCUGUUGGUCUGAUCUUCCGUCCGUUGGUCCGUCUGUCCUGCUUCAGGUUAAAGUUUUUGAUGAACUUGAAGUCCAAUCAACUUGAAACUUAGUACACAUGUUCCUUAUGAUAUGAUCUUUCUAAUUUUAAUGCCAAAUUAGAGAUUACUCCCAGUUCACGGUCCACUGAACAUAGAACAUUAUAAUGCGGAAUGGGCAUCCGUGUACUUAGGACACAUUCUUGUUGUUUAUGCUGUGCAACUUCUUUCUGUUACCCAAUAGUUUAAAAUUAUUCAAAUUCAUUGUAUAAAGAAAAUGUUCAUGAAAGUUCAUGUGAUGAAUAACAAUGAUACAUGUAUCCCUAGACUAAAGAAUAAUGAUAUAAACAAUUACAGUUUGUCCAACAGCCUUCAACAAUGAGCAAAACCCAUACCAUAUAAUCAUCUAUAAAAAGCCUUGGUAUGAUAAAAUGUGAAACAUUUCAAAAGAAAAAAUCAACAGCCUACUACAACAAUGAAGGAAAAACAAAUAUGGUACACAGCUUCUAACUACAGCCACUACGUUAUAGGUCCUGGCUGUAGACAGGCACAUACAGAAUAAAAAAAAAAAUGAUUAAAUUUAAUGUGACUGGUCUAGAUUAUUAUUGACAAUGUUUUAAGAAACUAUUACUUGAUAUUUUUUAUGUGUUUCUUAAAUGCCGACCUUUUAUAAAACCCAAAUCUUGAAACGAUCUCAAAAUAAGGAGUUGUGGUAUGAUUAACAAUGAAGCAAUUAAUCCUAGACCAUAGGACAAAGAUAUAAACAAUUACAGGUCGUCUAAUAGCCUUCCACAAUGAGCAAAACUCAGACCAUAUAAUAAUUAGGAGAUGUGGUAUGAUCAACAAUGAAGCAAUUAAUCCUAGACCAUAGGACAAAGAAAUAAACAAUUACAGGUCGUUCAACAGCCUUCAACAAUGAGCAAAACCCAUACCAUAUAAUAAUUAGGAGAUGUGGUAUGAUUAACAAUGAUACAAUUAUUCCUAGACCAUAGGACAAAGAUAUAAACAAUUACAGGUCGUCUAAUAGCCUUCCACAAUGAGCAAAACUCAUACCAUAUAAUAAUUAGAUGUGGUAUGAUUAACAAUGAUACAAUUAUUCCUAGACCAUAGGACAAAGAUAUAAACAAUUACAGGUCGUCUAAAAGCCUUCAACAAUGAGCAAAACCCAUACCAUAUAAUAAUUAGGAGAUGUGGUAUGAUUAACAAUGAUACAAUUAUUCCUAGACCAUAGGACAAAGAUAUAAACAAUUACAGGUCGUUCAACAGCCUUCAACAAUGAGCAAAACCCAUACCAUAUAAUAAUUAGGAGAUGUGGUAUGAUUAACAAUGAUACAAUUAUUCCUAGACCAUAGGACAAAGAUAUAAACAAUUACAGGUCGUCUAAUAGCCUUCAACAAUGAGCAAAACCCAUACCAUAUAAUAAUUAGGAGAUGUGGUAUGAUUAACAAUGAUACAAUUAUUCCUAGACCAUAGGACAAAGAUAUAAACAAUUACAGGUCGUUCAAUAGCCUUCAACAAUGAGCAAAACCCAUACCAUAGGAUAACUAGGAGUUGUGGUAUGAUAAACAAUGAUACAAUUAAUCCUAGACCAUAUGACAAAGAUAUAAACAAUUACAGGUCGUCUAACAGCCUUCAACAAUGAGCAAAACCCAUACCAUAUAAUCAUCUAUAAAAAGCCUUGGUUUGAUAAAAUAUGAAGCAUUUCAAAAGAAAAACGAACAGCCUACUACAACAAUGAAAGAAACACAAAUAUGGUACACAGCUUCUAACUACAGCCACUACGUUAUAUAGGUCCUGUCUGUGGAAAGAGUCACACCCUGUAUGUAGAAUACACAGCUUCUAACUACAUCCACUACGUUAUAUAGGUCCUGGCUGUGGAAAGAGUCACACCCUGUAUGUAGAAUACACAGCUUCUAACUACAGCCACUACUAUAUAUAGGUCCUCGUCUGUGGAAAGAGUCACACCCUGUAUGUAGAAUACACAGCUUCUAACUACAACCACUACCUUAUUGGUCCUGUCUUUCGACAGGAACACAUACAGAAUAAAAAAAAAAUGAUUGAAUUUAAUGUGACUGGUCUAGUUGAUUAUUGAGUAAUGUUUCUGAGAAGCUGCAAUAUGAUAUUUAAUAUUGUUCUUUAUGUGUGUCUUAAUGCUGGUAAAUAAAACUUUUGAAAUUUUUAGAUCUGGAAAAGUGCAAUAGAUGUUCUGGUGUUCGAUGGAAAAAGUCACACCCUGCUUUUAGAAUACAUUUGUACCUCAUUUAGG